CCAAUAGCGUAUAUUAAAGUUGUUGCAGUUAAAAAGCUCGUAGUUGAAUUUCGGGGUCAGUAGGUUGGUCGUGCCACCGGUACGUACUGGUCUCACUGAUUCCUCCUUCCUGAUGAGCUGUAAUGCCAUUAAUUUGGUGUUGCAGGGAAUCUGGACUGUUACUUUGAAAAAAUUAGAGUGUUUAAAGCAGGCUAACGCUUGAAUACAUUAGCAUGGAAUAAUGAAAUAGGACGUUCGAUCCUAUUUUGUUGGUUUCUAGGAUUGACGUAAUGAUUAAUAGGGAUAGUUGGGGGCAUUAGUAUUCAAUUGUCAGAGGUGAAAUUCUUGGAUUUAUUGAAGACUAACUACUGCGAAAGCAUUUGCCAAGGAUGUUUUCAUUAAUCAAGAACGAAAGUUAGGGGAUCGAAGACGAUCAGAUACCGUCGUAGUCUUAACCAUAAACUAUGCCGACUAGGGAUCGGAUGAUGUUAAUUUUUUAAUGACUCAUUUGGCGCCUUACG
rnacentral:rRNA from 1 species